GCCAGAGGAGGCGAUCGUUAUCCGGAGUCAUUGGGCGUAAAGGGUACGUAGGCGGCUAGUCAAGUCUGAGGUUAAAGACCACAGCUUAACUGUGGGAAGGCCUUGGAAACUGACUGGCUAGAGUGGGGCAGGGGUUGCGGGAAUUCCCGGUGUAGCGGUGAAAUGCGUAGAUAUCGGGAAGAACACCUGAGGCGAAAGCGCGCAACUGGGCCCUAACUGACGCUGAGGUACGAAAGCUAGGGGAGAGAAUGGG
rnacentral:rRNA from 1 species